GCUCAAAUUUGAAAUCUGGCACCUUCGGUGUCCGAGUUGUAAUUUGAAGAAGGUAACUUUGGAGUUGGCUCUUGUCUAUGUUCCUUGGAACAGGACGUCACAGAGGGUGAGAAUCCCGUGCGAUGAGAUGUCCAACUCUAUGUAAAGUGCUUUCGAAGAGUCGAGUUGUUUGGGAAUGCAGCUCUAAGUGGGUGGUAAAUUCCAUCUAAAGCUAAAUAUUGGCGAGAGACCGAUAGCGAACAAGUACAGUGAUGGAAAGAUGAAAAGAACUUUGAAAAGAGAGUGAAAAAGUACGUGAAAUUGUUGAAAGGGAAGGGUUUGAGAUCAGACUUGGUAUUUUGUAUGUCUUGCUUUCGGGUGGGGCCUCUGCAGUUUACUGGGCCAGCAUCGGUUUGGACGGUAGGAUAAUGACAUUGGAAUGUGGCACUACUUCGGUGGUGUGUUAUAGACUUUGUUGAUACUGCCUGUCUAGACCGAGGACUGCGUCUUUGACUAGGAUGCUGGCAUAAUGAUCCUAAACCGC
rnacentral:rRNA from 1 species